rnacentral:rRNA from 1 species
CGCUGAAGAGAGGAGCUUGCUCUUCUUGGAUGAGUUGCGAACGGGUGAGUAACGCGUAGGUAACCUGCCUUGUAGCGGGGGAUAACUAUUGGAAACGAUAGCUAAUACCGCAUAACAAUGGAUGACACAUGUCAUUUAUUUGAAAGGGGCAAUUGCUCCACUACAAGAUGGACCUGCGUUGUAUUAGCUAGUAGGUGAGGUAACGGCUCACCUAGGCGACGAUACAUAGCCGACCUGAGAGGGUGAUCGGCCACACUGGGACUGAGACACGGCCCAGACUCCUACGGGAGGCAGCAGUAGGGAAUCUUCGGCAAUGGGGGCAACCCUGACCGAGCAACGCCGCGUGAGUGAAGAAGGUUUUCGGAUCGUAAAGCUCUGUUGUAAGUCAAGAACGAGUGUGAGAGUGGAAAGUUCACACUGUGACGGUAGCUUACCAGAAAGGGACGGCUAACUACGUGCCAGCAGCCGCGGUAAUACGUAGGUCCCGAGCGUUGUCCGGAUUUAUUGGGCGUAAAGCGAGCGCAGGCGGUUUGAUAAGUCUGAAGUUAAAGGCUGUGGCUCAACCAUAGUUCGCUUUGGAAACUGUCAAACUUGAGUGCAGAAGGGGAGAGUGGAAUUCCAUGUGUAGCGGUGAAAUGCGUAGAUAUAUGGAGGAACACCGGUGGCGAAAGCGGCUCUCUGGUCUGUAACUGACGCUGAGGCUCGAAAGCGUGGGGAGCGAACAGGAUUAGAUACCCUGGUAGUCCACGCCGUAAACGAUGAGUGCUAGGUGUUGGAUCCUUUCCGGGAUUCAGUGCCGCAGCUAACGCAUUAAGCACUCCGCCUGGGGAGUACGACCGCAAGGUUGAAACUCAAAGGAAUUGACGGGGGCCCGCACAAGCGGUGGAGCAUGUGGUUUAAUUCGAAGCAACGCGAAGAACCUUACCAGGUCUUGACAUCCCGAUGCUAUUUCUAGAGAUAGAAAGUUACUUCGGUACAUCGGUGACAGGUGGUGCAUGGUUGUCGUCAGCUCGUGUCGUGAGAUGUUGGGUUAAGUCCCGCAACGAGCGCAACCCCUAUUGUUAGUUGCCAUCAUUCAGUUGGGCACUCUAGCGAGACUGCCGGUAAUAAACCGGAGGAAGGUGGGGAUGACGUCAAAUCAUCAUGCCCCUUAUGACCUGGGCUACACACGUGCUACAAUGGUUGGUACAACGAGUUGCGAGUCGGUGACGGCAAGCUAAUCUCUUAAAGCCAAUCUCAGUUCGGAUUGUAGGCUGCAACUCGCCUACAUGAAGUCGGAAUCGCUAGUAAUCGCGGAUCAGCACGCCGCGGUGAAUACGUUCCCGGGCCUUGUACACACCGCCCGUCACACCACGAGAGUUUGUAACACCCGAAGUCGGUGAGGUAACCU